GUAGGGCGCAAGCGUUAUCCGGAUUUAUUGGGCGUAAAGGGCUCGUAGGCGGCUCGUCGCGUCCGGUGUGAAAGUCCAUCGCUUAACGGUGGAUCUGCGCCGGGUACGGGCGGGCUGGAGUGCGGUAGGGGAGACUGGAAUUCCCGGUGUAACGGUGGAAUGUGUGGAUAUCGGGAAGAACACCGAUGGCGAAGGCAGGUCUCUGGGCCGUCACUGACGCUGAGGAGCGAAAGCGUGGGGAGCGAACAGGAUUAGAUACCCUGGUAGUCAAGGGCG
rnacentral:rRNA from 1 species